rnacentral:rRNA from 1 species
GACGAACGCUGGCGGCGUGCUUAACACAUGCAAGUCGAACGGAAAGGCCCCUUUGGGGGUCCUCGAGUGGCGAACGGGUGAGUAACACGUGAGUAACCUGCCCUUGACUUCGGGAUAACUUCAGGAAACUGGGGCUAAUACCGGAUAGGAAUCCUUGCUGCAUGGUGGGGGUUGGAAAGCUUCGGCGGUUUUGGAUGGACUCGCGGCUUAUCAGCUUGUUGGUGGGGUAGUGGCUUACCAAGGCUUUGACGGGUAGCCGGCCUGAGAGGGCGACCGGCCACAUUGGGACUGAGAUACGGCCCAGACUCCUACGGGGGGCAGCGGUGGGGAAUAUUGCACAAUGGGCGGAAGCCUGAUGCAGCAACGCCGCGUGCGGGAUGACGGCCUUCGGGUUGUAAACCGCUUUCAGCAGGGGCGAAGCUUGUGGUGACGGUACCUGCAGAAGAAGCACCGGCUAACUACGUG